GAUGAACGCUGGCGGCGUGCCUAAUACAUGCAAGUCGAGCGAACGGAUGAGAAGCUUGCUUCUCUGAUGUUAGCGGCGGACGGGUGAGUAACACGUGGAUAACCUACCUAUAAGACUGGGAUAACUUCGGGAAACCGGAGCUAAUACCGGAUGAUAUUUUGAACCGCAUGGUUCAAAAGUGAAAGACGGUCUUGCUGUCACUUAUAGAUGGAUCCGCGCUGCAUUAGCUAGUUGGUAAGGUAACGGCUUACCAAGGCAACGAUGCAUAGCCGACCUGAGAGGGUGAUCGGACACACUGGAACUGAGACACGGUCCAGACUCCUACGGGAGGCAGCAGUAGGGAAUCUUCCGCAAAGGGCGAAAGCCUGACGGAGCAACGCCGCGUGAGUGAUGAAGGUCUUCGGAUCGUAAAACUCUGUUAUUAGGGAAGAACAUAUGUGUAAGUAACUGUGCACAUCUUGACGGUACCUAAUCAGAAAGCCACGGCUAACUACGUG
rnacentral:rRNA from 1 species